AUCAUGGCAACCUGCAUUUGCAUAUUAAAGGGCUAAGGUGGGUGGACCAGGUGUUUUGCAGGCUACAUAAAUGACACACCUGGUCAAACCAAUCCCCUGGGCCCUAUGCAAACCAGACACUGCCCCCUGCAGCAUCCCAAUAUAAGCAACCACUUUUCUGCCACACACCAAGUUUCUGUUUGUUCUAAUCCCCCCUCCCUCUGUCUCUGUAUGGGGGAGCUGUUUUCUUCUUCCUUCCUUCUUGCCUAAUAAACUCUCCACUCCUUAAAACCAUUACAUGUGUGUCUGUGUCAUUUUAUCUAAACUGGUGCGAGACCAAGGACCCUGGUGUUCCUCCAGUCAUCGGAGCCGUAUCAUUUUGGUGCAUUGGCCAGGAAUUCAUUCAUCGGAGCGAAGCAAUUAAACUCCAAAUGGUACUGCAAGCAGAACCACACAUGGACACGCCAUUCUUCCAAGAAUCCUUAAAUCAACCUCAGGAGAAGGCCCAACUGCUGCUCCCCUGCAUGCUCCUUUUCAGCAGGAAGUGGCCACAAAGAAUCAUCGUCCAACACCCCCUAACAGCAGUUAGGUUUGCUUCUCUUGAGGGGGGAAAUAAUACAGGUGUUACUUAAAAAAGUUUUUUUAGGCAGAGAGAGAGGCUAAAAGGAGUUCUUGGUAAGGCUUUUUCUGUUAAUAAAAGCAAACCCCGAACCAUUUCUUUUCUAACAGAAAAACCGCUUGAAGGGCCGGGCCAGGAAGCUUUGAUACGCAAAUGCCGCCCGUUAGAAAUGGUCCACCCAAUAUGGCGACUCCUGCCUUCUUCUUGUCACCAUGUGUGCCAAGUGUCAUGGCUACCUCCAGAUAAUACCAUGUGUUCAGAACAUCAUGGCGAUCCGUAUUUGCAUAUUAAAGAGCUAAGGUGGGAAAUUUCGCCAGGUUUUUCACAGGCAAUGUAAAUAACAUACCUGGUCAAACCAAUCCCCUGGGCCCUAUGCAAACCAGACACCACCUCCUCCAGCAUCCCAAUAUAAGCAACCACUUUUCCUGCCACACACGGGGUUUCUCGUCGUUCGAAUCCCCCCUCCCUUUGUCUCUGUACCGGGGAGCUGUUUUCUUCCUUGCUUCUCUCUUGCCUAAUAAACUCUCCGCUCCUUAAAACUACUCCACACGUGUCUGUGUCAUUUUAUCUAAACUGGCGCGAGACCAAGGACCCUGGUGUUCCUUCAGUCAUCGGAGCCAUGUCAUUUACACCUCUCUUGGUCCUAUUCUUGUCUCACUCUCCUUUGCCUUCCAUACACACAGGCACAUAAAAAUGAGACUUUUAAAAAAUUAAGUUUAUACUCACAUCUCUGUUACCUCCCACAACAAUAACUAGAUCGUGAGCUCCUUGGGAAAAAGUCUGGGUCUCGGGGGCCAAAUUUUUUUCCAGUGCCUCAUGUACACGAGGUCAUAAACAAAUGCCCUUCCUGAGGCUACCCAAG
rnacentral:lncRNA from 1 species